ensembl:lncRNA
AUGAAGACAUCAGCCUUUCACAGCAAUCGUCGCUCGGUUGCUGAGGACCCCAGUGCGUUGGCUGAGUGCUUGCAUGUCAACAGAGGCCCAGCUGUGGUCUUGCAGAGCACAAACAUCACCAUGCCCUUGCAAGACUUCAGCCACUCUGAAAAGCAUCAAUUGUAUUACCUGAAAAAGUACCUCAGGCAGAUAGUUGAGGGCCUGAGUUUCUCCAAGGACGUACUAGAGCAACAAGGACUGUCCUAUAAGGAGUACAACUUCAAACACCUCUAUGAUCCUUCUGAUAUCAUUCAAAAGCCAAAAAGUGAAAAGCCCAUUGCUAUGAACUUCAAGAGCUUGGUCAGACUCCACCCUCAGAAGCAACCACUUUUCCCUAUGAAAAAUAAUGGACUUUCUCCUAAGCUCAGGAAGGAAGACAGCCUGUGGGGCUCCAAACUAGAAAUCUUGCCCAGAAAGUUAUUUCUACCACCUGUUCCUUCUUGUAAGACUUCAGGCGUGCAGGCAUCCCUGGAAAAGCCCUGUGAGAAGUUAUCUGGCUCCCUAUCAAGAGGAAGACAGGAAAAGCAGGUCUCUGAGAAGAACAUCCCAGGAUCAGAGAAUAUGACCUGGGGGGUGGAGAAAACAGGGCUGGAGAAGCUGAACAGGAUGACACCUCAAUGGACUGUGGAUCAGCAGAGGGCCAGGAGUGGCUCAGUUCAAUGUAACCCCCUUGACUCUGAAAAACAGAAGUUUUCCUGGAACACAAUCAGGGAUGAGCUUUCUUCUGACAGAGAUUUGAAAAUAUUGGAUAAUAUUCAGGGCAGAGAAAAUGACAUGGAAAUCAUAUCUCAGACACAAGCUGAGAAGACUCCUGGGACAGUCCUCCCCAUCUCCUGCAGGUAUAGAGGAGACAUCUUAUUUCGUAGUGUUUGCUCCGUGGCUGUUCCUCAUUACUACUGCUUGUGUUUAGGCAUUCCAUGGUGCAUCAUCUGUAUUUCUGCAUGGAGAGACAUGGAGGCGUUAUGUCCUUGA